UUGGGGUGUGCGCAAAAAUCUAAAUUUCAGAUUUUUGAUCUUUUGGAUUUGGGAAGAGAGAAUAAAUUAGAAGAAAAUUAUUUUCUUCUCUAUCUUUUUUUUACCUCUUCAUCUCCUCUAAAAGUUAAUCUUCAACCUUUGAAAAGAUUCUAGAGAUUUAAAGAAAGGAUCCAGAUCGACCAAGAAGAAGAUCUUCGCAUGA
rnacentral:lncRNA from 1 species